rnacentral:rRNA from 1 species
UACGUAGGGUGCGAGCGUUAAUCGGAAUUACUGGGCGUAAAGCGUGCGCAGGCGGUUCGCCAAGUCAGGUGUGAAAUCCCCGGGCUUAACCUGGGAAUUGCGCUUGAAACUAGCGGGCUUGAGUGUGGCAGAGGGGGGUGGAAUUCCACGUGUAGCAGUGAAAUGCGUAGAGAUGUGGAGGAACACCGAUGGCGAGGGCAGCCCCCUGGGUCAACACUGACGCUCAUGCACGAAAGCGUGGGGAGCAAACAGG